rnacentral:lncRNA from 1 species
CUUACCUUAUUAGUCACAGACAAUCCUAUGUGAUAGAAACACUUGUAAUUCCUACUUUAUAAAUGAAGAAAUUGAGGCCCAAGAAUAUUAGGUAAGUUGGUCAAGCUAAGGUUUGAACCCAAGCAGUCUGACACAGCAGCCUGAACCCCGACCCCCUCAUUACACAGUUCUGCCUCUUUUAAGCAGACUACCCUGGGAAGCUUGCUGGGGGAGGAGGAACUUUGUCACAAGGCUCAACCCCAAAGAAAUUUCUCUGGACCUUUAGAAGGAGAUUCACAAUGCCUCUCCAUCUCAGUUCUAGGUCGGCUUGCUAAGCCAACAAUAAAGCUAUCCUGUGCCUUCCAUAACCUUCUGCUCCAAGAUAGCAGGGAAUUUAUUCGGCCAGGGAUUCACACCUCAGAGGCUCAUCUGCCUCAGCAACUAGAGGUGGCCCAGAGAUGGUGGGAAGUGCCAGCCACCUUUCAGAUGGAAAGCUGCUGGGUGUGCUUGCCCUCUGCCAGAGCUCCAAGAGGGAACGAGCUUAAAUUCUCGUGA